GCUCCAGGCUCUGAGCUGUCAGCACAGAGCCUGACACCCAGCUCAGGAACCAUGAGAUACGACCUGAGCUGAAGUCGGAUGCUUAACAGACUGAGUCACCCAGGCACCCCUGACUAGGGAGUUCGUACCCUCGCUCUCUUGUUAGCUGUGGGGCCUGUGAAAGUCACAUGUGGUGUCUGACUUGUUUCCUCAUCUGUAGAAAGGAGAGGGAAACCGAGGCAGAGAGACCUAGGACAGCCUGGGGAGACGUGAGCACUAACGUGCAUGAAGGGGGACAGUGAAGAAGAGGAAAUACGACUGUUUCUGAAAAGAUUCCAUUUGGCAGUUUUGGGAGCUGAGAACCCAAGAGCCUGCACUCUAGCACCUCUCCAUGCUGAGAGUGAUUACCGCCCUGAGGUGGAGGAAUCUGGAAUGCCCUGCUUUAGGAUUAAAGCUAUGAAGCCUAGCAAUGAGAUGGUUCUUCUGGUUAUUCUACAUAUGAAGUGACAUAUUCUGUAUCUUCCAUUUUUCCUUGAAUUUUUUUUAUUCACUGGCCAAGCCAGUAAUGUUGUCUUGUGAUGUUUCCAGUUGUAAA